rnacentral:rRNA from 1 species
UACGGGGGGGGUAAGCGUUGUUCGGAAUUACUGGGCGUAAAGGGCUCGUAGGCGGCCAACUAAGUCAGACGUGAAAUCCCUCGGCUUAACCGGGGAACUGCAUCUGAUACUGGAUGGCUUGAGUUCGGGAGAGGGAUGCGGAAUUCCAGGUGUAGCGGUGAAAUGCGUAGAUAUCUGGAGGAACACCGGUGGCGAAGGCGGCAUCCUGGACCGACACUGACGCUGAGGAGCGAAAGCGUGGGGAGCGAACAGG